ensembl:antisense Gm15635 predicted gene 15635
CAGGCACACGGAAGACAUCUGGAUGCCCAUCACCACCACCACCACCACCACCACCACCGAGGUCCCUGGGCAAGCAGUUUACCCAGCACUCUCAGGAGCAUGAACUGCAUCCCCACUGCCAGGGUUUUAUCUUCUUUCUUCACACCUCUGCCAGGAAAGACACGGUUGUAUGAGGAUGGACUGAGAGACUCAGCCCCAGCGCCAAGCAGCAGCAGGGUCUCAAUAGGUCUUGUGUGAUGCCUGCAAUUUGAUGGGUAGAGCAGCCAAUGAAGAAGAGCGGCACGCUGAAGAGCAGACACAACAGCGAGCCGAGGAGGCAGAGGGCACUGCACUGCACCGGGCUCAGGUGGA